GACGAACGCUGGCGGCGUGCUUAACACAUGCAAGUCGAACGGAAAGGCCCUGCUUUUGUGGGGUGCUCGAGUGGCGAGCGGGUGAGUAACACGUGAGUAACCUGCCCUUGACUUUGGGAUAACUUCAGGAAACUGGGGCUAAUACCGGAUAGGAGCUCCUGCUGCAUGGUGGGGGUUGGAAGGUUUCGGCGGUUGGGGAUGGACUCGCGGCUUAUCAGCUUGUUGGUGGGGUAGUGGCUUACCAAGGCUUUGACGGGUAGCCGGCCUGAGAGGGUGACCGGCCACAUUGGGACUGAGAUACGGCCCAGACUCCUACGGGAGGCAGCAGUGGGGAAUAUUGCACAAUGGGCGGAAGCCUGAUGCAGCAACGCCGCGUGCGGGGUGACGGCCUUCGGGUUGUAAACCGCUUUCGCCUGUGACGAAGCGUGAGUGACGGUAAUGGGUAAAGAAGCACCGGCUAACUACGUG
rnacentral:rRNA from 1 species